UUUCUCUUCUACACAAGUUCCUCCACAUAUCGCUUUGGCUCAUCGACUUCUUAUCGUCUUCACUGCUAAAAAAUAAACAGAUCGUCUGAGUGUACCUGGCAGCUGCACGUCACUCCCCACUCAUGCAGAACUGCUUGCUUCGCUCCUUCGAUGCCAGCCUCAAACGCUGUUCUAUCAUAGAACUGAAGCCGGCUCAGCCUCUCUCUAAGUGCAUCGAAAUCACGCGUGAAAGAAGGUGAUUGAGUCCAUCCGCAGCUAGAUGUCGAAGCUGCAUGGGCUCAGGACGAUCGGCGAGCUCCACUGGACGACACAUCGAGA